AAGUCGUAACAAGGUCUCCGUUGGUGAACCAGCGGAGGGAUCAUUACAAGAAGCCGAAAGGCUACUUAAAACCAUAGCGAACUCAUCCAAGUUGCUUCGGCGGUGCGGGGUCCCUCACGGGGCGCCGCGGCCCUCGCCUCCCCGGAGGUACAAGGCACCCGCCGGAGGUACAAAACUCUUAUGUAUUAUAGUGGUAUCUCUGAGUAAAAAACAAAUAAGUUAAAACUUUCAACAACGGAUCUCUUGGUUCUG
rnacentral:misc_RNA from 1 species